rnacentral:rRNA from 1 species
GUGGGGAAUAUUGGACAAUGGGCGCAAGCCUGAUCCAGCCAUGCCGCGUGAGUGAUGAAGGCCCUAGGGUUGUAAAGCUCUUUCAGUGGGGACGAUAAUGACGGUACCCACAGAAGAAGCCCCGGCUAACUUCGUGCCAGCAGCCGCGGUAAUACGAAGGGGGCUAGCGUUGUUCGGAUUUACUGGGCGUAAAGCGCACGUAGGCGGAUCGUUAAGUCGAGGGUGAAAUCCUGGAGCUCAACUCCAGAACUGCCUUCGAUACUGGCGAUCUUGAGUCCGGAAGAGGUGAGUGGAACUCCUAGUGUAGAGGUGGAAUUCGUAGAUAUUAGGAAGAACACCAGUGGCGAAGGCGGCUCACUGGUCCGGUACUGACGCUGAGGUGCGAAAGCGUGGGGAGCAAACAGGAUUAGAUACCCGGGUAGUCC